rnacentral:rRNA from 1 species
UACGUAGGGUGCAAGCGUUGUCCGGAAUUAUUGGGCGUAAAGAGCUCGUAGGCGGUCUGUCGCGUCUGCUGUGAAAACUUAGGGCUUAACCCUGAGCUUGCAGUGGGUACGGGCAGACUAGAGUGCGGUAGGGGAGACUGGAAUUCCUGGUGUAGCGGUGAAAUGCGCAGAUAUCAGGAGGAACACCGGUGGCGAAGGCGGGUCUCUGGGCCGUAACUGACGCUGAGGAGCGAAAGCAUGGGGAGCGAACAGG